UGCAUGCAUGAAAUCAUAAAAUUUUAAUAGUAGUAUCAGAGCCACGUCAUAUACAUAAGAUUAGGAUUUAGAUCUGAAAUCUAUAAAAAAAAAUUUUAGAUCUAAAAAUUUUUUAUGUCGUUCUGACAUAAGGUUGCGCUGGCAUAACUUGUUAUACUGUAUGGUUGUCCUAGAAUGAUAUUAAAAUUUUUGAUUAAAAUAAAAUUUUAGAUCUAAUUUUUUAGCAUAUAUGUGA
rnacentral:lncRNA from 1 species